rnacentral:rRNA from 1 species
GACGAACGCUGGCGGCGUGCUUAACACAUGCAAGUCGAACGGAAAGGCCCUGCUUUUGUGGGGUGCUCGAGUGGCGAACGGGUGAGUAACACGUGAGUAACCUGCCCUUGACUUUGGGAUAACUUCAGGAAACUGGGGCUAAUACCGGAUAGGAGCUCCUGCUGCAUGGUGGGGGUUGGAAAGUUUCGGCGGUUGGGGAUGGACUCCGGGCUUAUCAGCUUGUUGGUGGGGUAGUGGCUUACCAAGGCUUUGGCGGGUAGCCGGCAUGAGAGGGUGACCGGCCACAUUGGGACUGAGAUACGGCCCAGACUCCUACGGGAGGCAGCAGUGGGGAAUAUUGCACAAUGGGCGGAAGCCUGAUGCAGCAACGCCGCGUGCGGAAUGACGGCCUUCGGGUUGUAAACCGCUUUCGCCUGUGACGAAGCGUGAGUGACGGUAAUGGGUAAAGAAGCACCGGCUAACUACGUG